rnacentral:rRNA from 1 species
GAUGAACGCUGGCGGCGUGCCUAAUACAUGCAAGUCGAGCGAACAGACGAGGAGCUUGCUCCUCUGACGUUAGCGGCGGACGGGUGAGUAACCCGUGGAUAACCUCCCUUUAAGCCUGGGAUAACUUCGGAAAACGGGAGCUAAUACCGCAUAAAAUGUUUAACCCCAUGUUUAAAAGUUGAAAGACGGCCUUGCUUCACCUAAUGAUUGUCCCGCGGCGCAUUAGCGAGUUUGUUAGGGAAAGGCUUACCAAUGCAACGAUUCGUAGCCGACCUUAGAGGGUGAUCGGCCACACUGGAACAGAGACACGGUCCAGACUCCUACGGGAGGCAGCAAUAGGGAAUCUGCCGCAAUGGGCGAAAGCCUGACGGAGCAACGCCGCGUGAGUGAAGAAGGUCUGCGGAUCGUAAAACUCUGUUAUUAGGGAAGAACAAAUGUGUAAGUAACUAUGCACGUCUUGACGGUACCUAAUCAGAAAGCCACGGCUAACUACGU